CCGGCUCUGGAAAGGGGAAAGGGGUAAAAACUUACCUUUUUCCAGCGCUGGGCGGAGAGCUCUCCUCCUCCUCUCCGCCUCCGUUACGCCCCGCCGGCUGAAUGCGCACGCGUGGCAAGAGCUGCGCGCGCAUUCAGCCGGUCUCAUAGGAAAGCAUUUACAAUGCUUUCCUAUGGACGCUUGCGUGCUCUCACUGUGAAAAUCACAGUGAGAAGCACGCAAGCGCCUCUAGUGGCUGUCAAUGAGACAGCCACUAGAGGAUUAGGGGGAAGG